UGUUCAUCUCAUUUACAGUAAAAGAUAUUUUCUUGCUAUAAAACUAUAAAUUCAAUACAAAGAAGCAACAACUCCUUCAACAUCAUCAGGAAGACAUCCCUAAGAAUAACAUUGUAGGUUGUUUGGUUUGUGGAAAGAUGACAAAGUUUUGCUCCCCUUGUGUCGUUUUACUCCUCCUCAUAGUCUUCUCAGUUGAUAAUGUCCCAGUGAAAAUUGAAGCUAAGACAUGUACAAUAGCGUGGCAAGGUUGUGAGACUAAAGAAAAGUGUGACACACAAUGUUUAGGAAGAUAUGGUGGACAUGGAUAUUGUUUUAAACCUCCUAUCGCUCUCUUUGUUGAAUGUAGAUGUGAAUACCCUUGUUAAUCAUAAUCUCGAUAUUACAAAUGCCAAAAGAUCAUUAUUGGUCUUGAUAUAUUAAUCUGCUUGUUCUCUUCAGUGUAACCGUAAACUUUGAUAUGAUAAUAAUAUAAUAAAGAGAUGUUUAGCCAGUAGAA